rnacentral:rRNA from 1 species
GUAAUAGCUCACUGGUCGAGUCGGCCCGCGCGGAAGAUGUAACGGGGCUAAACCAUGCACCGAAGCUGCGGCAGCGACACAAAGUGUUGUUGGGUAGGGGAGCGUUCUGUAAGCCUGCGAAGGUGUACUGUGAGGUAUGCUGGAGGUAUCAGAAGUGCGAAUGCUGACAUAAGUAACGAUAAUGCGGGUGAAAAACCCGCACGCCGGAAGACCAAGGGUUCCUGUCCAACGUUAAUCGGGGCAGGGUGAGUCGACCCCUAAGGCGAGGCUGAAAAGCGUAGUCGAUGGGAAACGGGUUAAUAUUCCCGUACUGGUGGUAACUGCGAUGGGGGAACGGAGAAGGCUAGGUUGUCCGGGCGACGGUCGUCCCGGUUCAAGCAGGUAGGCAGAGUGAUUAGGCAAAUCCGGUCACUUAAUGCUGAGAUGUGAUGACGAACCACCAAGGUGGUGAAGCAAUUGAUGCCCCGCUUCCAGGAAAAGCCUCUAAGCUUCAGGUUACCAACAAUCGUACCCCAAACCGACACAGGUGGUCAGGUAGAGAAUACUCAGGCGCUUGAGAGAACUCGGGUGAAGGAACUAGGCAAAAUGGUGCCGUAACUUCGGGAGAAGGCACGCUGGCGGUAGGUAAAGUCCCUCGCGGACGGCGCUGAAGCCAGUCGAAGAUACCAGCUGGCUGCAACUGUUUAUUAAAAACACAGCACUGUGCAAACACGAAAGUGGACGUAUACGGUGUGACGCCUGCCCGGUGCUGGAAGGUUAAUUGAUGGGGUCAGCCGUAAGGCGAAGCUCCUGAUCGAAGCCCCAGUAAACGGCGGCCGUAACUAUAACGGUCCUAAGGUAGCGAAAUUCCUUGU